rnacentral:rRNA from 1 species
UACGUAGGGGGCGAGCGUUGUCCGGAUUUAUUGGGCGUAAAGAGCUCGUAGGCGGCUUGGCAAGUCGGGUGUGAAACCUCCAGGCUCAACCUGGAGACGCCACUCGAUACUGCCAUGGCUAGAGUCCGGUAGGGGACCACGGAAUUCCUGGUGUAGCGGUGAAAUGCGCAGAUAUCAGGAGGAACACCGGUGGCGAAGGCGGUGGUCUGGGCCGGCACUGACGCUGAGGAGCGAAGGCGUGGGGAGCGAACGGG